CUCUAGCCCCCAGCCUACAAAAUAAAUCACAGGUAAUUCAUUAAAAUGUGCCUUAAAUGUACAAGGCUUUUCUUCAGUACGAAUAUGGGCCCAUCAGAUGAGUUUGUUACAUUACAAGCCAGUAGUUCUUACAGUGUUCAUUACUUCUGCAAAUGUUAUAGCCGCCCCUCUGGAGCAUUUUCCCUGUGAAGCCGAGGUAGGUCCAUCUUGUAUAACAGGCAGAGAUGAUGUAUGGGAUCAAGUAGAUGAGCUGCAGGGGAAUGGCUGGGUUCUAUGCUGACCUUUGCUGCAUAUAGAUUUUACCAUACACAGACCUUAUAAUUCCAUGCCUUAACUUUACAGAUAUAUUGUCGGGUCCUUCAUCAAAUGCUCAAAAGCAGACUUUGUAACCCAUUAUUCCAGAAUACCAGCAGUUGUAGAUACCCAUCCUCUGCACCUUAUUUAUUCCAUGAAACCUUGUAUUUUAAGUACUUUUGGAUGAAGAGUUAAUACUCUUCAAUAGGAUAUUCUUGAGGCAGUUUGCUAUUGAGUAACUCGAUUCAGGAGACUUUUGAGGUCACAACAGUAAUGUAGAUAGUGCGUAAGUGGCUCGUCUGCAGUGUGGUGGACAUCGUUGGUUAGAGGUUGGUCACUUUAGGAAAAUGUUAACUAAUGCACCGUUUUCGUUCGUUGAGUACCUACACCCUUGUUAUGACUGGCAUAUCUUCUGGCCCUAAUCUGAUGGAGGAGCAUGACCAGCGACGCCAUUUUGCCUCCUGUGUAUUAACACACUGCAUCACCAAAACUAGUGCAGGCACAGUGUGUACAACAGAGGGAUCUAGAUAUCACGUAUCUGCAGCCAUAAUAUGGAUUGGGGCAGUGUGUAGUCGGAAUAUAGCACUAAAACUAUGCAGAACUGAUAGUAAAUUUUGGAUUUUUUUUUUUCUACAUUCACAUGGUUUGGUGGUCUACAUAGAUUUUGCACAUCUUUACAAAAAGAAUAUCCAUCAUUGACAAAGGUGUGGCUUUAUUUUUCUACUUCUCCCUGAUGGGAUGUACAGAUCAUACCUAAACCAGGAGAAAUGUUGAAGUGAAUGCUGCUUUUACAGACGUAGAAAUCACAUUUACUAGUAUUGUAGCCAAUGAGCUGUACCAAUGUCUACCACAUAAGUCACCUUAAAGAAAGGUGAUCCCAGAUAGGAAUAGGCAGGAUCAUUGUAGGCGGCAUUGGGAAUUUAUUGGUGCUGUCAUCACAGGUUGUUUUUUUUUUUUUGUGCUAUCUCUAUGGUCUGUUGAGGUUCCAUCAUAAAUUGGUAACUUGUCCUCCUGUGUGCAUUGUGUUUAAAAAGUACAUUCAGAUUUAUUUUUUUGCCUUUUCGAAAUGAGUGUUUAAUAAAACAAUAUUGUCAGUGAUUGUAAAUAAUUUUAAAUAUGCAUUAACCUUUGAAAUAAAAUAUACACCUGAAAUGUGCA